rnacentral:rRNA from 1 species
UACAGAGGUCUCAAGCGUUGUUCGGAUUCAUUGGGCGUAAAGGGUGCGUAGGUGGCGCUGUAAGUCAGGUGUGAAAUUUCGGAGCUUAACUCCGAAACUGCAUUUGAUACUGCGGUGCUUGAGGACUGGAGAGGAGACUGGAAUUUACGGUGUAGCAGUGAAAUGCGUAGAGAUCGUAAGGAAGACCAGUGGCGAAGGCGGGUCUCUGGACAGUUCCUGACACUGAGGCACGAAGGCCCAGGGGGAGCAAAACGGG